GGCCCAAAUGCCGCAUGAUAUCCUUUGACCUUGCGUUGCCGGCGGCGGUUAUUACGGCCAUGGAGAUCUCGCGCGGCCAUUUGCCGGUGAGGUCGGCUGCUUCGCCGGCGCCUCCGCCUCCGCAUCUACGCCUGGUUGAUCCCCCAACGCUAUCUCCACUGUGCUAUCGCGUUUCCGGCGGUGGUUGAUCGAGGCGGUAGCCCGUGCGGCGCGCGAGAUUCCGCUCGUCCAUGGAUUUCCGGUCGCCGUCGCCGGGAUUCGUCUUCUCCGGCCAGCCCCUCGCCGCGCGAACCUGCGCCGCCCGUCCUCGGCAAGGAUCUGAUCGGGAUCGCUUGUGGGGGAACGUUGACUUGUAAGAAGACCAGAGCCAUCUGUUCUGAUUUGAGAGGCCUGUAUAUUAACCUGUCAAAGACUCAAAGAGCAGCGAAGGAAAUGUUUCAUAGCCUUGUUAGACAUAACUUUGCCAGGAGAUCUGUCUGUUUUGAUGCCCACAGGCUGUUAUGGGGGUUGCUAGUCACUUGCUCUUACAUGCCCUUCUGCUGGCAUAAGAUGAUAGUCUGGUGUAGGUUCUGUUGUUGAACCCUGGAAGUCUGGAACACAACCGGUGCUCAGAAGACUUUCAUAUCACUGCAGCCUACCAGGAUUUGAUAGAGCAAUUUGAUAUGUUUGGUGAAAAUUCAUACACAUUUGAGUUAUUGUACAAUACUCAGAAAUUGGUGUUUUCUAUCCUCUGGUAAUUGUGGAUCACUGGCAUAUUGAAGAAUCAAACCUGACAUAUAAUUGCCAGGGUCUGUAAUUUUUAUACAUGUGGAGAUUGGUGUGCAUACCAAAUGUUCUGCAUCAUGUAAUCAGAAGAGUUGUUUAGGAGAGGCAUAGGCAAAUUCCCUUGUAAGGCUUUUGUAGUUCCUUGAGUGAACGUAGUUAUAACAGUUCUGUUUUCUACGACAAAA